rnacentral:tRNA from 1 species
GCCGAGCUGGUCUAAUGGUAGGUCGCCCAGGUAUACGCAUCCUCGACCCUCCCGGCAGGGGUCCCAGGCGAUCCAGGUUCGAAUCCUGGGCACGGUA